rnacentral:rRNA from 1 species
CAGGGCUCGAAAUGUACAGGACAGCGGUAGAAAUAUCGUCUCCCAGCAAUGGGUCUGUAUAUAGGUGCUGCAUGGCUGUCGUCAGCUCGUGUCGUGAGAUGUUGGGUUAAGUCCCGUAACGAGCGCAACCCUUGUCCUUAGUUACCAGCACGUUAUGGUGGGCACUCUAAGGAGACUGCCGGUGACAAACCGGAGGAAGGUGGGGAUGACGUCAAGUCAUCAUGCCCCUUACGGCCUGGGCUACACACGUGCUACAAUGGUCGGUACAGAGGGUUGCCAAGCCGCGAGGUGGAGCUAAUCUCACAAAACCGAUCGUAGUCCGGAUCGCAGUCUGCAACUCGACUGCGUGAAGUCGGAAUCGCUAGUAAUCGCGAAUCAGAAUGUCGCGGUGAAUACGUUC